CGCCCCGGUGAAUAUAUUCCUGAGCCUUGUACACACCGCCCGUCAAGCCACGAAAAGCUGGGGGGUACCCGAAGUCGCCUUAAAGCGCCCACGGUAAAAACCAGUGAUUGGGACU
rnacentral:rRNA from 1 species